AAAGCAGAAUCCUAUUAUCUUAUCUUCUAUUUACUAUAUACUAAAGUAGAACCCUUUGUAUAAAACGGCCACGUGACUUUCUAUAUGCUUGCCACGUGUCAAAGUGAAAGAUAGAAUCUAUCUAUUUGCUAUAUACUAAAGUAGAACCUUUUGUGUAAAACUGCCACGUGGCUUUCUAUAUGCUUGCCAUGUGUCAAAGUCAAAUAUAAAAUAGCAAUUUUAUUAGGAAACACUAUUAAAUCAAAUUAAAUCAAAUUUAAUAAAAUUACUAUAUACUAAAGUAGAACCCUUUGUGUAAAACUGCCAUGUGGCUUUCUAUAUGCUUGCCACGUGUCAAAGUCAAAUAUAGAAUAGCAAUUUUAUUAGGAAACACUAUUAAAUCAUAUUAAAUCAAAUUAUACCAAUUAAAUAUAAUUAUAUAUACAAUUAACGAGAAUUUUAUUAGGAAACACUAUUAAAUCAAAUUAAAUCAAAUUAAAUAAAAUUAAAUCAAAUUAAAUCAAAUUAUACCAAUUAAAUAUAAUUAUAUAUAUACAAUUAACUAGAAUUUUAUUAUGAAACACUAUUAAACACUAUUAUUAUAAUUAUCCUCAAAUAUAGAAUAGCAAUUUUAUUAGGAAACACUAUUAAAUCAAAUUAAAUCAAAUUAUACCAAUUAAAUAUAUUAUAUAUACAAUUAUCUAGAAUUUUAUUAUGAAACACUAUUAAACACUAUUAUUAUAAUUAUAGUCAAAUAUAGAAUAGCAACUUUAUUAGGAAACACUAUUAAAUCAAAUUAAAUCUAUCUAUUUACUAUAUACUAAAGUAAAACCCUUUGUGUGAAACUGCCACGUGUCUUUCUAUAUGCUUGUCACGUGUUAAACUCAAGUAUAGAAUAGCAAUUUUAUUAGGAAACACUAUUAAAUCAAAUCAAAUCAAAUUUUACUAAUUAACAAAUUAUACCAAUUAAAUAUAAUUAUAUAUACAAAUAGGAAACACUAUUAAAUCAAAUUAAAUCAAAUUAAAUCAAAUUAUACCAAUUAAAUAUAACUAGUUACGGGACCCGCGCGUUGCAGCGAAAAGUUAACACAACAGUAAUUUAUCAGUUUUUAAUAUUAAUUUUUUU
rnacentral:lncRNA from 1 species